GACGUAGGGCGCGAGCGUUAUCCGGAUUCACUGGGUUUAAAGGGUGCGUAGGCGGGCAGAUAAGUCAGUGGUGAAAUCCCCGAGCUUAACUUGGGAACUGCCAUUGAUACUAUUUGUCUUGAAUGUCGUGGAGGUUAGCGGAAUAUGUCAUGUAGCGGUGAAAUGCUUAGAUAUGACAUAGAACACCCAUUGCGAAGGCAGCUAACUACGCGAAUAUUGACGCUGAGGCGCGAAAGCGUGGGGAUCAAACAGG
rnacentral:rRNA from 1 species